UGCAAAUGGAAUCUCAGGUGCCCACCUAGUCUCCUGCAGUGUACUACCAGAAACUAGGUUUCAUUUCAGGCAAGAAAAUAGUAACAUACAUGGAUUCAAAUUGACCUGGGGAGCCAGUUACAAGAUGAACAUACAGCACAGGAAUACACACAAGAAGAAUGCAGGAACCAAACUGUCAAAAAGGGCUACAGCAACAACAUCACACAAAUGGCAUUCCUGAAAGUGUUCCUGUAAUGACCCUUUGAGGACCAAUACAGAGAUGUUGUGAGAACCUGGAA
rnacentral:lncRNA from 1 species